AAUUUUGGUUUUCUGUUGUUGGGUGUAGUUGUUGGUUCUUCGUUGACGGUUACACCUGGCAUCUAGCAAAUCCUUAACCUCUUUUUUUCUUUCCUUUUUUCUUAAUUUUUUAAUAAUAAUAAUAAAUGUUCUGGGUCCACGUAAAGAACCAGCAGAUACUCUGUGGGGUCUACUUAUUUAUACGUGGCAAUUGGUUGGGUCCACAAUGGAUUGCCAGACUGUGAUUCACUUACUGUUUGACAAAUUUGGAGCCAGAUUGGUUUUGAAUGACGAGAGACUCCCCCCCAUUCCAUGUGUCUUUAAGGACAGUUUGCGCGCCAGCGUGAAGAACCGAGGUCGGAUGAGUGGCCUGGUGGCCUUCCUUUUG
rnacentral:misc_RNA from 1 species